GCAUUAAUGGGGUAGUGGUAACCUGGGUCGUUGCCAUUCCGAGUGAAUUUCGACCCGCCGGGGGUUCGAUUCCCUCUUAAUGCA